rnacentral:lncRNA from 1 species
CGCCUCCUCCUCCGCUAUGCGUUUGGGUUUGGGCUUGGGCUUGCCUCGAUGGAGAAUCGUCCAAAGAAUUUGAUCCCUCCAUCGUCUAUCUGAAUUCAAUGAAUGAAACCCUAAAAAGAAAGAAAUAGAGGAAUGGUUUAGGUUUAGGUUUAGGCUUGGGGGAAAAGAAAGGAAGCAGCUGAUGACACUAAAUACUAAUAAUAUUUAGCAGCUCUGGCUGGCUGGGUUGCGGGCGGAGUGGGUUUUUCUAAAUUACAUACACAGAGUCUUUCUGUUACGUGUGUGUUGUGCAGAGGAGCGGAAACUUCCCGAUGAAUCCCACCCGUUUUUUCUCUAACCCUAUUUAAGCCCGACCCGCUUUUCCUAAGACCUCAAUGAAAUGGGCCUUCUUUUGGGAGCUUGAUGUUAUAUGCUAAUAAUUAUCGGGCCUUUCUUCUAUUUUAAUUAAAUUAACAAAAUUUAAUUAAGGUUCCGUUUUUUUAUUGCGUUUCUAUAUUUAGUUAAUCAAUAUAUAUCAUAUAUUUAUAUGGAAUUCAUUAAAAAAUCUCAAUUGAAAUCUUAAUUAAAAGAAAAGUUACAUAUUAUGAUUUUUAUUAAAUAUAUUUUUUAAAAACUAUAAUUAUAAAAACUACCAUAAUAUCAAACAAACACUAAAAUAUCUAAUUAUUUUCAAAUCCUAACGCAAAUAUGAAUGGAUGGAAUAUACUAGGCCGUGUCAAAUGUAGCAUAUAAUGGAAAAACAAUAGGUUUGUGUAAUAUAUAUGAGGUGGGCCACUAUACAUUUUUGGGAAGUGAGGUUUUCACAAAUCAUUUUAAUUGACUACACAAAUUAACUACACCUGGUAACGCGCUUAAUAUUCUUUUCUUUUAUUUUCUUCGGCCUUGUUAUUCAAGCUGCCUUGUGAGUUGAUAUCUUAUGGACAAUCAUCUUUGAAAGUUGUUUGCAAUACACCUACAGUAAUUUCAACUCUAUUUUCUUGGCUGGUCUUACAGCUAGUAAUUUCCAACAUUUUUCAAAGCUCAAUGAACAUAAUUAGGCUGGCUUCUCAUAAUGGGCCGGUUAGAUUGCAUGAUAACAUAUAAAAAAAAUAGACCACAGAUUCAGACUGGUUUCAAACUAAGCCAAGUUGAGCCAAUAGGUUAAAGUACUAUUAAAAGCAAGAGGAACGCCAUGAAUCAAUACCAUUGCACUGUUGUACAGGGAUAAUGCAUUCACAUGCCAAGACACUAGUCAGGACUGGUGGAGUUUUGUCGCAACCAAAAACUAAAUAAACCAGAAUCCACUAUCUUCUCUCCUUUCAAUCUUUUAAUAAAAGACUACUGUUUAGCUUUUCCUGCAAGCCCUGCUAAACAUUUCUCUUAUGUUCUUUGAUUCUUCUCCACCUUAGCAUUUUUAGCUUGCUUUCCACUUCUCUUUGUUUUAUCUUCACUCCUACCCUUUUCCUGAUAGACAUAAAAAAAACACAAUAAUCAGUCUAAGAGUCAGCGAGAACCCUAGAUGUGAAGUUCUGACAUUUCCUAAUACCUCUUUUUAUACAGCCCAAUAUCCUGUCAAUUUAUAUUGUAUCAAUGCACUUUUCCAACACAAACAACUCAUCCUAUUAGCAUUCAUGAAAUUCUACUCUCAUCAUGCCCUAUUGAUGUUUUUUUUUCCAACCAAGAACUUUCAAUCUCAAAUAGAAUAAAGAAUUUACACAUAUGCUCACUUUGGGCUUACCAUGACUAAAAGGUGGCCUAGGCAAAUUCCACAUUCAACUUGUAACAUAUCAAAAACUUUUUCAAAAAAAGUAAUAAAUUAAGGGAAUUAUAAAAGUCGGAAUGUGUAUCACAGCCUACACCAGUCCCAGAUGUUGCUACCCAAUUUUUGACCCAUGUUUUGAUAAAUUUUCAGAAAAAUUCAAAAAUAGCGAAAAAACAUUGAAAAUCCAAAAAAAUACGUUUUUAAUACAUUUGCAUCGUUUUUUAGCAUUUUUAGCAUCGUCUCAAAAGAAUUUAAAUUUUCAAAGAUAUUUGGAACGCGUUCAACUUUUCACGCGUUAUUUUUAAAAUCAUUGAUUUCCCGCAUUGAGUCGAUGUUGAUAUUUGCUCGCUUUCAAAAAUACAAAAAAAAUAAGAAAAAUCAAAAUUUACAAAAAAAGAGGAAAAGAGAAGGAAAGGAAAAGUUGAGGGACUAGUUUGAAAACCUAGCAAAACUUUUCCUAUAAAUACCAUGCUAUACUGAUUUUGUGAAGGGGGGGCAAUUUUGACAACAUCAAAAAAAAAUACAAAAAAACCUAACCCUAAACCCAUCUUUUUUUCAAGAGGAGCCGCCCCCCACGUUUUUGUUUUUCCUCUUCAGCCGGUUCCCCAUCUUCUUCUCCUAGCCAGCCAAAGAACCAACCUCUCCCUUUCUCGACAGACCGGACUCAGCUUCUUCUCCAAUACCACAGCAGACCACCACUCUAUCUUGCUUCCCUCUCAACAGAUUUUCCUCCAUUUUUGCCCACAAAGAAAAUCAGCGUCGUCUUCAGCUCCUUCUCCCCUGCACCUGAAGCGGCCCCAUCUCCUUUCCCCAUUACCUCUCGUCUUCAACCUUCAGCACCGAAGCCUUCCCCUCAGCAGCGUUUUUCUUCUCCUUCAGACCAUCAACGCCGUCCUCCACCAAGCACCACAACAGCAGCCGAGCUCCUCCAUCACAGAGCCGUCCCCAACAUCUCCUGAGACCACAGAACAGCGUCUCCCUCACCGGCCAGCAGCAGUCCUCCUUCCUCCACCAGCAGACCCAGCUCACUGCUUCCAACAGCCUUCAUCGUCUCCUUCGGCGCCGUCUCCAGCUCCUCCCCCAAGCGCAGCGGCAGCCCCCGCUGUUUUCUUCUCCUUCAACCGACCUCAGCAGUGGCAGUUUCUGCCCACGCGACAGACCCAACAGCCCCUGCUCCUGAACCAGCUGCCAGAUCGUGACGCCCGGCCAUCCCCGUUCUCUCCUUCAUCUCCCCGCAGAUCGGCCUCCACAGGAGCCAGCCCCCCUCUCAGCCACUGUUCCUCCCUCUCGCCCGUUCCCCUUCCUUACCGGCGAUCUGAGACAGAGAAGAGAUGAGGCAGAGAAACGGGACAGAUCCAAGAGAAGAAACCGAAGCAGAUCUAAAACCAAAAACCGAGAAGGAAAGGAGACAGCUUGUUGUUGCGUUUGUGUUUCUUUUUGCAGGUGACAGGGAUCGGCACCACCGGCAGAGAAGAGGAGCAGAAGCUGAGCCGAACCCACCAUUUUUCCGGCAAAUCGCGGCGGCGCGCUGUCAGUGAUGGUGGCGCGUUGCUCCACGCGCCGCCACUGUUCCAACACUGUUGCUGCGAUUCCAGAAGUGUUCCUCCGCAAUUCCUGGAGUUUUGGGGGACUAUUUUGUAAAUUUGGAUUAUUUAAUAUAAUUUUUAUUUAGUUUUGAAUUUUUAUAAUUUGUAUUGUGGAUGUAAAAAAGCAAAAAAGAAAAGAAAGAAAAAAGAAAAAAUACAGAAAAGAAAAGAAAAGAAACAAAAAUAUAGUAAAAAUGAAUGUGUGUGUUUGUAUUUAUUUUAUUUUUAUAUAUAUAUUUUUUUUUUAUGAUGAAAUUGCAAAGAUUAAAGAAGAAUUUAAUAUUUUGAUUGGAUCACGGUCAAGAAUUAUUAACUUAUACGUAAGUUGUAUUUCUAAUAUCCGAUGAAAAAACAAUUAUUAAAACUUCUUUAAGCACAUCAAAUUCGCAAAGCAGCUUACCUCAGGUAGGGUGUGUUAGGGGUGCUAAUACCUUUCCUAACCACAACCAGUCCCUUACCCGCGAAUCUCUGACAAGACCAGUACAUCCGGUUUCCUAGUAGCCUUCAAUAAAUUACUAGGUGGCGACUCCAACGAACCAAUCAAAUUCAAAUCAAACAUAACAACGAAAAAUCGCCAGCCGAUGCCGCGCGGAUUUUCUGACGUGCGACACCAGAUAUGCAAAAAAAUAUGUUCAACCAGCUAGCUAUUUUGGGCAAGAGAAGGAUAUGAUGCGUUGUAAUGUGCACCUGUAAUAAUAUGAAAGAAGUUGGAUUAUGUUCGGCAUUGGUUGGAAAAUUUUCAGCUUUCAGUACUUUACUAGUUACCUUGAGUAAAUUUAAUCUGCAAUCAAAUCCCAUAAACUAACCAGGUCAGGCAGAUAAAGGAAACCAUUUCACACUAGGAUUUCAUCCUGCUUUCUAUGUUAAGCUCGCUUAUUGAACAAAGACAAAAUACCAUAUCUCUGUAAGAGUUUAAAUCUGAAUAAAUACUUCAAAUGAUCUAACAUAAGCAUUAACAACGGCUCAUCCUUCACGUACUCCUCUAAUAUUGAAACCGCUUCAGCAACUACACCAGUAAAAAGAGAUAAGUUAAUGACAAGAAAAGAUUUCUCUAGAUCUUAUACAUGUUUUUUUAUGUCUUUUUUUUCCUCUUGGAUUAUGCAAGAACAAACCAUUCGACACAUCACUCCAUAAUAGUUUCUUGAGCCAUCCCAAAACCUUUUUCUGCAAUUGUACAUUCUUGCCUAAUGUAAUUAUGCUAAAUCUAUCAGUUAUAUAUUAUUUCCUAAUUUUAUUUCUUUUUGAUUGUGUAAAUAAGUGAUGCUUCAUUGAUUGCAUGUUAGCUUAAAGUUUUGGUUCUUAAAAUUCAACUAUUUUUUAUAAGCUUGUUAUGAUCUCCUUAUCCAGUGAAAAUAUGAGUGGAAAGAUACAUUUUUUGGUUUAACAUUGCUUCUUGGGAGGAUUAGUUUCAUAUUUAAAAUCUCAUAGCCCCCUCUUGUUUUUUUUAUGAUUAUUACUAUUACAAAAUCUAUAGCCAUCCCUAUUUCAAGCCAAUCACGCUUGACCUGACACCAGCAGUUAUGAUGUCUUGAAAUUGAUGUCAAGUUUGCAAAUUUCACAACUCCAUGCUAGACUGAACAGAAAAUUGCACCAAAAACCACCCCCAAAUCCAUGAGUAGACCUAUGUAUAUGAUUCAUAUUUAUGUCUGUGUGUAUUCACUAAUGUCGAGGAAGGAGAAUUCAAAUAAUGAAAGGUCAUAUAUCAUUUCUAGUAGAGGACAUACAUUUAUAAUUCUCGUCUUGAGCAGCAUAGUUCUUAUCCAAUGAGCAUAGAGCCUUUUUUUUAUUGGAACACCUGCAGGUACAGAUCUUGUACUCAGGCAUGCAUACAUCCUUAGUGGAACAAAAUCUAGUCAGGCAUAUAGCCUAAUAAAACAUUCUCUAUCAACUGAUCAAAAGAUCAAUCUAAAAUCCUGAUUGGAUACCACAAGAAAAAGAAAGAAUAAACAGUUAAUAAAGGUUUAAUGGUUAUGUCCUACCACAUCAGAAUAGUAAUAUGGCUUCUAUAUGAAAAUAACAAACCUUGCACUAUAAAGUAACAUGAUUUACUUUAUAUAUUUCAGCACGUUAGUCACUGGAAUUUGCACCAGAAAAACACAGGUAGUAGAAGACCUUUGAUUUCACAAACUACUCGCAUACAGUUCUCUGCAAUGGACAUUAGAUGCUGAUACACAGGAUAAUCAUUGAUGAAUAUUAUCUCAUCUAAUUGCCUGAACUUCCCAAGAUCAUCUCGCUUCUAAAUACAAGGAAAAAAUAGUUUUAUUAAAAUAAAGGUGGAGGAAUGAAUUUGAUGCCAUGAGAAAUGAUUAAACAUUCUCAACUCUUAUAUAUAUAUUCCAAAACAAUCAGAAUAAAAUUAAGAAAAGCCAACCAGAACUGGUUGCCAUGCCCAUCAAUUACUGUAGUUUGCAAGUUAAUUUACUUCAAAAGUUAGAAAACAUGGCCACAUGCACAGAAUAGACUAAAAGGUUUCCUACAGUUGAGUAAAUCUAUACCCCUCCUUCAAAUGCAAUAAGUAGAUCAUAAUCAAGCUGAAAUAAAUUUUUUAACUAGGGACCAUGAAAAAAUGGAAGACACAGCUUGCUUCUGAUCCAAAUUAUGUGAACAAGAACCAGAUAACACAAUUGUAUUUACCUUCAUUCUAGCUUCCUAAAAAAUUGGCAACAAAAUGAAAACAUGAUCGACAACAGUGGCAGUGUAUAGGCUGCCACCUGCAUGAAGAAAGAACAGAUGAAGAGAAAGGGAAACAAACACAAAGCAGGUCAGGAUAGCAGUUAGUAUCAGAAUCAUGAAUAUGAAAUAACAUUUAAUGUUAUUUUAUUAAAUAACCAAUUCAUAUACAAUAUCAACUAUAGUGGUUGAGAUUUUCCAAUAUAUAUAUAUAUAUAUAUAUAUUGGGUGCGCACAUAGGUGUUGAAAGCCAGACUACAGUCGAACCCAUCUAGGAAAGAUUCUGUAAAAACUCAAAAGUUCCAUUUGUGAUCUGAUGCUAACCAAUAACAAAACGAGGAGAAGCACAAGCCUUGGAAAGUUUGAGUGGAGGUGUGUGGAUGGGAAAGAUAUAGAGAUGAAGCACAUGCAAUGCCUCAAUGAAAGCAUGAAGAACAAACAUUAAGUCCAGUCCAAUAUCUGAAAAUUAUGAUAUCUAGAAUCUAUAUUGUAUCAUGCAUGUAAUGUACCCAGUAAGCAAUAUUAGAGAGGUAAGGUUGUGCAUUUUUGAGUAAAGAACUGUAUAUAUAUGUAUGUACCCUGAGAAACAUAAUCGCCAAGAAACCAAGACGUAUAUGAUUGCUUGAACCAGUGAAGUUCUUGGAGCACUGCUCCCUCAUUAUCAUGACUAAGGAGAUAGUUUGUUGUGUUCCCUAAAAGGAGAUGAAAUUUGAUAAGUGCUUAUGAAGUGGUACUAUAACUGGCGAAUGAUGAACACACACACACACAUAUAUCUACCCGUCGAAGCAAUAACAAGCAUACAUUAAUUCCAGCAGCAGCAUCUGAGUAAAUUUGUAAUACAAAUAUAAUUAAGGCAAAACCCUUUGAGAUCAAUUCAGCUCACUGUGAUAUUAUUAAACAAAAAAUGAAAUUCACAUAAGAAGAAAUCAAUGCAUUCAAUUACUUGUGAGUGGUUUGCAACAAAAGUUUAGCACUAAUAUUAAGUAAUUACCUCCUGCACUGGGCGAAGGCGCAUGUGCAAUCAGAAGAUGAGACUCAUUACCGCCGCCUUCCCACCAUUCCUUUUCCAUUUCCUCCUUCACCACCCAAAAUCAAAUUGCGGCGGCGGGAAAUGCUUUGCUUGGUUGGCACCAGGGACCAAGAGCAGCAGAAGGAAGGAAAACAAACUUCUCCUUGUUACCUGGUCUACGUGUACAUCUGUAUAUACGAAUACGACUAGUCUUACAUGAAAAUCAGGAUUAAUUUUUCUCUUGUUUCAUGACGGGACGUGGCUUAAUGAGCUUAAGAUUAUACAAAAAAAGGGAAUUUCAGGCCAGUCAUCAGGUUUGAACUUGAUAUCUUUAAGAAAUGGAAAUCUUUAACGACCCUAUCUAAUAAUGUUCAGGUCAAUCAUCCUUAGUGAGUUUGAUUAGAGGUAAUGUCACAGAUGAGGCCCUAUCUGAUAAUUUUUUCCAAUUUUUUUUUGUUUGUUGUAAAUUUGCAAGUCUGUUAUCUUCAUUCCUAUCAAUUGGAAGAAACCAGUUUGAAAGGGUUAUCUAACGAGAUAAUGUUUAUUUUUUUCACAUGGAAGUAAAAGGGAUGCUAGGAAUCAACACUAAGUGCUUAAACAUAAAUGAUAAACCAUUGCACUGUUGUACUGGGAUGAUGGAUUCUCACGCAAAGACACUAGUAACGACUGGGCGAGUUUUGUGUUCGUUGGUAGGCCACCCAAUUUCCCCAAUGACAACGGGCAAGCUUCCAUAACCAUUUUUCUGCAAAGCCCGUAUAAGGGUGUCAUGGUUCGCAUCAAACACGUUGUCGUAAAUUGUCCCGCCAUCGUUCAAGGGAAAUGACUUGUUGCCAAAGAAUGCAAAGCCUAGGGGGGAAUUAGGAUCACUGCAAAGGCUUAUAAAUGGAUAGAUAUUGACAGUGAAUGGAGCCCCAUUGUCGCUCAAGAACUUGACAAUCGAUAGCAUGAGAUCAUGGAUGUCUGAACGGAAGUCACCAUCGGAUGGAAGAUUUGUUGGACUCUCAUACACAUCAGCAUUGAGGGGAACGGUGACUUUCACCCGAGUGCUUAGUCCGGCUUUUGUUAAAGCUGAUUGGAUAUUCCGAAGAGCAGGAAGAGUUGUUCCCAGAAAGCUUCCAUUGUAGGAUGACAAGAAUGGCUCAUUUCCAACUGCAACGUACCUUGUAAAUAACUCAAAAUUACUGGUGAAUAAAUCCCCCCCAACACAAGACAAGCUCUAUAUAUAGCGGAACAUCUAAACACCAUAAAAGCAGAGCAAGCUCAUAUAGUAUAAUCCUAGUCAUGAUCCUUAAUUUGUUUCUUCUUACCAGACACACUCUUGGCUUGUGUAAUUCAAGUCAAAUACAUGAACUACAAUUAAUGAUCGGCAAAGCAAAUCAAUCCAUGUCAAUGGAAAAAAGAAACAAGGAAAGGGAUCGAUGGAUUACCUGAUGUCUGCACCACCAGAAGAGAUAUGAGAAGAGACAUUCUUGGCCACCCAGGUGUCAGCAGCUUGCUCACUAUUGGCCAGAUUAUAAAGCAUAUCAUUGGGAAUACCCACCAUGAUUUGAAUCCCAGAAUUAGCGAGAGCAUUUAGAGUUGCUGAAUCAGCAUCAAAUAGCUUGACCUUCUGAAAACCGUUGUCCCUGAGCAUGUUAAGCACCGUGGAAGGCGCCAAAGGAUGCGUUGCCUGAGUUCCCUAGUUGACUCCAAUUCCACUCACGGAAUCCACCAGCAAUUGAAGAAUAGAUAAGCAGCACAAGGUUAGAACAAGAGGUUGUUGCCUUUGCCUUGUAGACACCACUCCUUUGAUCAAACCCCCCAUGGUGUUUUACAUAUAGAGGUAUACUAGAGAAAUUAAGACAGGAUCAUGCAACUAUCUCUGGAUUCUAAAACAGUUAUUACAGUUAACUACUAUGGUUGGUUUGGUCUGGAUACAAUAAACCAGCUAGAAAAUUAAAGACGGCUCAAGAGCAACAAAACAGCAGGUAGCAAGCUAGCUGACGAAGAUGGAGAUUACAAGGGAAUAAAAAAGGGAGUAUAGUACAUGCUUAAGAUAUAGCAUAUGCUUACAUGACAAUGCAUAAUAUAAUAAUAAUAAGGAUCGUGAUGAGGAGGAAAGAAUGUUCUUUCUUUUUUUACCAAUCAAUGGAGAGAGGAAGAAUGUGUUUCGGGUUUAAAAAAAAGUUUUUUUAUUAAAGGUUUUAAAGUAAAAUACAGUGUGCUGAUUAAACAAUUGCAUCAGCAGACCCAGACUUGAAGUAAGAAGAACAACUUGUGUGAGUGCUUGCAAGAUGAUGUUCGUGGACAUUGAUGAACAUGUUUUUGUACGUCCAAUUAUCGAGGAAUCAUGAAUUUAAAUCAAUUAGGUUGGGUGCACUGUCACUAUGUAUUCCAAUUUAGUUGUAAGAAAAAUAAUUAUUAGUCCUAAUUAAUAAGAGUGGAGUGUGCACGUGGAUUACAGUUCUUCAAUUUAAUUAUAAAAUUGAUUGAUGGCCCGUUCCGGCAUUGUUAUCUGCUAAAUUUCAAUCUGUCUGUUAAUUGUAUGAAUAGAAUGAUCCAUCGAGUACCGCCCGGGCUAAUAAGCCUGGUUAUUAAACUCGGCCGACCCGAUGGUUGGAUUGGUCCGUGUUUAAUAAAAGACCAGCCGGGGCAACAACCCGGCAAAACCCGGUCGACCCGGCGAAUCAACCCAUGACCCGGGCAAACCCGUUGUUUUUUUUUUCUUUUCAAAUAUGAGAUUUGAAAUUCAUUAGUAUAUAUGCUAUAUGUUCCCAGAAAAAAAAUUAUGUUUUUUCAAUGUGGAAUAAAAAACUUUUUGGUUUAAAUACUUCAACUUAAAAGAAUAACGUAGUAUUUUUUGAAUGUGAGAUUUGAAACCUUUUCGUAUAUAUACUAUAUGUUCCAGGAAAAAAGUUAUGUUUUUUCAACGUGGAAUUUAAAACCCAUUAGUAUAUAUACUCUCUGUUUCCAAGAAAAAGUUAUUUUUUCAAUGUGGGAUAAAACAUAUUUUUGGUUUAAAUACUUCAAUUUAAAAGCUUAAUAUAGUAUCUUUUUAACGUGGGAUAAAAAACUUUUUAAAAUAUUCUUUUAAACUUCAUUAUUUACAAUAUGUAUAGUCUAUAUUUAAAUGAAUUUUUUCUUAAUUUUUUCAUAUGAAAUAUUAAAGUUUUAAAUAUAUUUUUUUAAUUUUUUCAGAUUGAUUCGUGUUGACCUAUAAAACCUGAAACUCGAUCUCUUAAAUAGAUGAACUCUCAAUCCAGGUUUUAAUAACUAUGCUAGUAAGCUUUCCAACCUUCUCAGUCCAGGUCGCAUGCUCAUCGUAGAAAUAUAAUCCAUUAGUCAUGUGAACCGCAAUCCAUCACAUACAAUUAUUUUUAUUUUUUAUGAAAAUAAUUAUAAGGUUUUUUCAACAUGUUUCUACAAUUUAAAAAAAUUAAAUUCAAAUAACAUUUUUUAUACAUAUAUAUAAUCAAAUAAAUUAAGAAUUAUAUAUGUGAAAAAUUAAAUAAAAAGUUAUUAACAAAACCAAAAAAUAAAACUUUAAAAAUCCAGUGAUAGGUGUAGAUCGAAAUAUUUAAUUUUGAAAGAAAAGACAUUUACCCGGUUGUGUUUACUAAAUUUAUUUAUUAAAAUAAUUUAUUUAUUCAAGCAAACGAUAAUAAAAAUAAAGACACAAAUUAAAUUGAUUGAAUAAAAUAAAAGAAGAAUAAAAAUAUCAUACAAUGCAGCACUUAUUAAAAAUAUUUUUUAAAAAUAUUUUUUUAUUUUUAAAAAUAGAUAUCAUCUAUAUAAAAAUAAAAAACAAUAUAUAACUAACUCAGAAAAAUUCUACAAAUUUAAAUGAAUAACUAAAAAAAUAAUUAUUAUUUCAAAGAGGUUCUAAAAAAAAUAAAAGAGAGAAAUAAUAUUAAUUUAAAUAUAAAUUAAUAAAAAUGUUUUUUUAUUUUUAAAAAUAGAUAUCAUCCAUAUAAAAAUAAAAAAACAAUAUAUAACUUAUCAGAAAAAUUCUACAAAUUUAAAUGAAUAACUAAAAAAAUAAUUAUUAUUUAAAAGAGGUUUAAAAAAAUAAUUAUUAUUUAAAAGAGAAAAAUAAUAUUAAUUUAAAUAUAAAUUAAAAGAAUUUAGGGAAGAGGCGAUAAAAAAAUCAUUAAUUUAAAAAUAUAGAAAAAACAUUUAGAAAAAAAAACAAAGAUAUCAAUGUUGGGUCUGUCAAACUAGACAACAACAAUGGUCAUUCAUUCUGGGUUGGUCUUUAGCCUGUUCCCCAGUUCUCCUAGAAGAGUAUUUAAUGUCAUGAAGGAAGGGGCAAUGCAAUAAAUCCCUUGAAUUACCAUGAACAGGAAGGAUGUCAGUCUGAUGAGCUGUUGGUCGCCUGGAUGUAGACCAUUAUAUAUGACGUGUUAUUUGUUGAAGUGGGAAGAGGAGAGAAUGGAUAGGUUUGCGCGAAGGUGGGAUGAAAGAUGCAUUCGCCUUGCCUCUUAAGAAUUUAUCUACCUGAAUGAAUACUGAUUAUUUAAUUGCUAAUAAAUGGUUGGAGCACAGGAUGGAGAGUGGAGUGGAGACGGAAGGAAAGAGGCUGGGCUGAAUGGCCCAACGAGUCUAAUCAUCUACUAUUAUAAUAAUAAAAAAUAGAAAUAAAACUCCGGUGGUGGUGAUGCAGGUACUGGUGGCUGCUUUCCUUUCCGGUUCACAGCUUCAUUGAAAUGAAAAAUGUACAAAACCCUACUACAAGUCUAGAGCCCCUAACUAAUAAAUAAAGUGUCUCCUUCAUUUUGGUCCGCAGCUGCAAUACAAAAAAGCUACUCCCUACUCCCUAGUAGUAGCAAUAACAGUAGUUGUACUAGUGAAGAGCAGGAGGAGGAGAAGAAGAGGCAAAAUGCCGCUGGGUGAAAAGGCAGGAUUUGAAAAGAGUCAAUCUCGAUAUUGCGGAGUGGAGACAGAGUUCAACGAUAACGUGCCUCAGCUUCUUAAUUUUAAUCUCUCUAGCAGCGCCUUCGACUUCAUUGUCGCUCCUCUGGUUCGUCCUUUUCUUGUGUUUAAUAACAUCUAAUUUGACCUGAUUUGAUUUCUGGUGGCUAGUUAGCCUUUUACGUGUUAUUUGUGUGAAUGGUAGUAGGCUCACCUACAUUGAUCUUUUUGUGGCCUUCCCUUCCGCUCUUUGCUCUUUUCCACACUUGUAGGCAACAUUCUUCUUAUUGCCGAUUCUACUUCUAGGCUAGGCUGCCGACAUAACAUCUUCUGCCCUUUUAUUUUAUUUUUAUAUAGUGAAUUUACCAUUCUAACUCCCAAUUCUUCAAUUUGAUCUAUCUAUGUUUUCUAAAGUAUUGCAUGUUAAUAAUAAUUGUGACUGUGAUCAUAUCUAUGCAGCCUGGUUUCUGGCACAGAUGAAUCCCUCAUAUCGGGCCAGCUUGUUGGAAAAAGACGGGGUUCUUCCAUUUGCUAUAUCAAACCUAGUUUUGAGUCCCUCUCAGCGGAGCAGUCAUGUUAUUGGUAUCAACUCUUCUGCCCCGCAUUUUUACAUGCUUCCCUUCUAACUCUCUCUCUCAUGUGCUCCAUUCUUGAUUUUUCUAAGGAAAAUUAGUUCUUGGAUUGACUUGGAUUCGGAGGAUGAAACUCUUCGGAUGGAUUCCAAAACCACAUUGAAGCAAGAAAUAGCUUGGGCUAAUCAUCUCUCUAUACAGGUGAUUUUCAAUCCUAAAAUUUAAACUACUUUACUUCAUUCUUUCAAAGUUGCAAUGUAUUUCAAUUGCCAUGAACUCCAUAUAGCCUGACAAGUGGUGGAGAAACCAAAAACUUUUACUAUAAGCAAACCUUUUCCUGUUACUUAUCAAUACGAUGACAGUCAUUGGAGGUGCAUCAACAUACAGAAAUUAGUUUGUACAAGACAAAUUCUGUAUGCUGAUAACUUUUUUUGUUCCACACCUUAAUGGCUGUCUUCUUUCCACUUUUGUCUGUCCUAAAGUAAACAAAAGGCACAAGUUGUCGCACUCUUCUGAUUUACCCCCUUGUGCAACAUCUAUCCCUAUUCCCGGUGUUCAUUCAUCUUUAUUGUUUGUGUUGUGGUGAUUUCUCGUGUUCUAGAUAUAGUUCUUUCAGAAAAGCCAUUUUUAAGAGCCUAUGGUGUUAAAGCUUUCGUUGUCUGGUGCAGGCAUGCAUUCUUCCUUCUUCCAAGGGUGCAUCCUGUUCUAAUUAUGCUAGGUGUGUAAAUCAUAUUUUGCUGGGCCUCAACAAUAUACAGGUACCUUUCAUAAUCCAAAUCUAUUUCCCAAUAACAUUUUCCCCCUUUCUGUUCUCUUUCUUUGUUGCUGUCUUAAUUCUUAUUACUUUAUUAUUAAAGUUGUGGCUUAGGAUUCCGCUAGUGAAGACUAAUGAUGAUGAUGUUAUGGAUGCUAACUCUACUAGCUUUGUAAGCGACGUCCCUUUUUAUUUUGCCUUUGUCUUUCAUUUUGUUAGAUUUGUAAUAUUCGUUACAAGUCUAAAUGGUAGGAUAUACAUGCUUUUUUUAAAAUAAAAAAAAGAUAGCUUCUUGAAUCCUUUCCCCAUAUAGCACCUUUCCUGUAUGGUCUACAUUCCUGCUGUAUAAUGGCAAUCAGGGUCUAACGAUAUGGCUUAGUUGAAAUAAAUUUUAAUGGAAUACCAUGUGGUUUGAGGGGAUUAUUUUUCCUGAAAACUUAAAAGAACACUUUAUUUUGCUCAACUUCCUUUUCUUCUUCCAUGCACAGAUUGAUUCCUGGGAAUUAUGGAAUGCAUUUCGUCUUCUCUAGGAACAUCACAGUCAGCUGUUCGUUGCACUCGAUAUUUGUGAGUUCUAAUCUCUCUUGCAUUAUUGUUUUAAUGGUUGCCAUAUUUUUCUCCAACUUUAUUUGAUUAUGAUAAGAAUUACAUGUUCUCUUGGAGUUCCCUGCCUUUAGUGAACUCGCUUGGCUGUUGGUUUGGAGAACCUGUUACAGCAGCCAUAAUUAAUAUGGAUGUGGGUAUACUUUGGUUUCCAUGUGAUUUAUUGCAUGUUGCUCCUAUGAUGAUGUGGGUUUUAAAUGGUGUCAUUUUUAAUUUACCAGUCUUUCCUAACAAAUGGACGGGGUUAUCCAUGCUUGUCAAAGUGCCAUCAGAAGCUGAUUACUGGGUUCUUUUACCAUUUAAUACAGGUAUACGUUGAAAAUUUUCUCGACUCCAUUGCUUAAAUGAAUUUUUUUCUGUCUUUUUACAAGUUUUAAUAUUUUUCCUCCAUGUUGUGUAGCAGUGUAUCUCGCAAAUCGUUUACUUAGUAUAUUUCACAAGUAGUUUGUUAUUUCUUACUCUUAUACAUCAAUUUUGCAUGCUCUGAAUUGAGUUUCAGAUACUUUACUGUGGUCAUGCUAAUGGAUGACUUGGUAUGAUUUAUCUAAGGUGAUUGGCAUUGGGAUACCUACAUCCAUUUUGCUUUUUGUAUAUAAGAGCAACUUUAGCUCUGAAACUUCCCCAGACAUUUAGUCUAAUAUAUUUUGAUGUUAUUAUUUGAUUUUCCUCUCUCAAUUUGUUAUUAGUAGUCACAGAUAUUACAAAUAAUUACCAGGAUACAAAUUUAAUAACUAUGGUCCUCAAAAAUAUCUUUUCAGAUUAAUAUUUCUGGCAAACUUGUACACAGUAUUCCCAGGCCAAGUUCAGAUACUACCAAUAAUUUUGAUAAUAACAGUGACAGUAAGUUCUCUAAGGUUCACUGUCCAUGUUUUAAGGAGUGUUCAUAUGUAUAAUUGUCAUUCUUAUGCUUCUUUCUUUGUUCAUGUACUUCCUGCACCUCUCUCUUCCUAUAUAAUAAUCACUCUUUUAUAUGUGUGCAUGCAUAAACACUUAAAUUUUUUCAAUAGUAGACAGCCUCGGUGCGUGCUUUUAUUUAUAGGUCUGCAAAGACAUCCCCUCGGGCCAUAUUUGGACUAUGUUGGUUAUCUCUUCCAAAGUAUGGAUCCCAUUCCUGAGCAAGAACGUUUUGAAGUAAUUUGCUUUCUCCUGUGCUUCCACAUACACACUCAUAACACACCCUAUUUCACAUCAUUUCCCUAGGUAGAAAAGGGGUGAUUACUUUCUUUUCUCCCUGUGCUAUUUUUUUUUUUACUUCUUUAAUCUCUUAUGCCAGCUUGGUUAAAGGGAUUUCCUACAGUCUCCAUUGCAGGUGAGCUUUUCUAUCCCCGGCAACAACAUCUAGUCUUAUCUACAUAUUCUUUCUCAAUGUAAACAUUUUGUUCAAAAUGAAAUCUUCGCAUUGUUCUCUCUUUUGGUGACUUCUUGCAUUGUCCUUAAGUAAUUAUAAGUUGAGUUCUUUUGUUGUUGUAAUUCAGCCUCUCAUGGAUAAUCUAGAAGCCCAAACAUACGAGACUUUUGGAAGAGACUCGAAGAAAUAUAUCCAGGUAUGAGUAAAAUUAACAUAAUAUUGAAUGUCUAAAAUUAAAUGUCCAUCCUUUUGUAUUCAUAUAUAUGGUUAGACAUGCAUACAUGAAAUAUUCACCAUAUUUGGAUUUCUUUCAUAGGCAAGUACAGCCUUACCAUACAGGAUUGAUUGUCAUUGCAGAUAUUAAAAACUAGAGAUUGAUGUGGGUUAUAGUACUCCAAUUGAUAAAUGGGCCAAAGAUAAAGCUUUAGUUUAGUAUCCAUCUACAGAUUAUCAGUUGUGAUAAUUUUAUAUAACAUGCUUGUAUUUUUGUAGUACCAAAGGGCAAUCAGUAAAGCUUUGCUGGAUAGAGUUCCUGAUGAAGAAGCAAGUGCAGUCACUGUAAGCAACCAUUUGCCUUUUCAAAUCCUAUUUUGGUUGACAGCCCCCUUCCACUUUUGUUGGUGUUUAUGCUGUUGUACCACAUUUAAUACCACAUAAGACAUGAUGUACAUGCAAUGUUAAGUUGACGAGAUUUAUGUAUCUGUAAAUUUUGGUUAGGUACUGAUGGUUGUUGGAGCAGGACGUGGACCUCUUGUGAGGGCAUCACUGCAGGUUUUUUCCUAUGCCUUCUGCAACUAGCAACCUGUGGUUGUUCAUAUCUAUGUUUCAUCCUUCACUUUAAUUGUUUAUAGGCAACUGAAGAAACUGGACAUAAGCUGAAAGUUUAUGCCGUUGAGAAAAAUCCCAAUGCAGUUGUCACACUUCAUGUGAGUUCCAUAUGGUAGUUAUUAUUUCUCAGAUUGUGUUUACCAAAAAUAUCGUGCUUACAUGUGAAAACUAUUGCUGCAUUGAAUUUCUUGUAUGGUAUCAACUUGGAUAUUCAUCAUAUGGGUCUCUGGAGGAUUCCUCUGGAAAUGAAUUUUCCUCAUAAGAAACAAACAACAAAUCCAAUCUAUAUUAGUGCUCAAACAUGUGUAACAUUUGUGUUGUUUAUUAUAUUUAUUUGUCUUGGAUCUCAGAGAUAACAUGGUAUUUGUUGCAACAAAGUUUGGUUAAGCUAGAAGGAUGGGAAGAUAUUGUUACCAUAAUUUCUUCUACUUCUUCUUCUUCCUUAUGUUUUCUUUUCCAGCUACACUAGCUUUAUCCAACCGGUGAUAGCUGCCAAGCUAUAUAAUAAUGUAUGGCGUUUGCAUCUUUUUUAUACGUUGUUGUUUUCUUGUUUCAAUUGGAAUCAUGUGAGUGGAUUGUGUUUUUUUGGGCAGGUUAAGUCGCACAAAGAUCUUGUACACUUUGAGGCUGCAUAUGUUGUCAACUGCAUAAUGUAGCAAGGCUCACUCAUUCCCAAACUAUAAGUCACUUUUAACACAGCAUGCUAAUUGAUAUAUGGGCCAUGUUUAGGUCCAUGGCUUUGUGAAAUUGAUGUGACUAACCCACUGCUAGCAUGGUAGGUCCUGUAUCUGAUCAGUUCAUGAUUCUUAGUAUUUAAUGAAUUAUUUUUAAUCAUGCAAAUUAUGUAUUUACUGCACUGUUCUUUAUAUUCUUUUUUCAGUUGAGAAAACAUUUAGAUCAAUCAUUUUUAGCUACUUGUAUAAUCUUUCCCUGUACAAGUCUUUACGUUCACCCAUUCAGAUUACUCAACCAAAAAAAGCAAUCAACGCUACAAAAGGUUGCAGUUUGAGAUACCAUGUGACACUGGAUCAGCUAUGGUUCAUGGUAUGUUGUAACCAAGGCUAGUUCCUAUUUUGCACAUAUAGGUUUUACAGUUAGAUAAUGUUAUCAGCUGAUACCAUUUCUGGAAGCUUGACUUCUACACCUAUUAAUUUGAUUUGAUCUUAUUUGGAGUGUGAUCUUGAGACCCUCAAGUGCAUGUCAAGUUAGAAAUUGGACAUCAAAUGUGAACACUGAAUUUCCUUUGAUUUAUGCCUAAGUUUAUCUAAGUUAGGAACACCCGGAUACAAACUUGAGUUGGCACAUGUAUUAAUGACAUAGAAAUGUGUUUAGAAAAAUGGUUAGUUGCAAUGGUGAUUCCAUUUUACUUAAUAGUGUGAAGAUCUCAUGCAAAUAGUUUGAGGAAAGAUUGAAUUAACACGAGGUUAGUUAAAAAAAAGUCAUGGAUAUAGAACCAGCCAGGCAGUUGCAUUUGAACUUUAAAAAUUUAAACAGUAAACCAUCAUAUAACUCCACUAUAGCACUGAAUUUAAGGGUCAGUCAUCCUCUGGUAUUUGAUAGAAAGUUGCUUCUCUUCAACAAAAAGGUUACUAGCAACCUUCUCAGCUUGAACCAUCAACGGCGACACCAGACAUGUCCAGUUGGUAUAAUAUUUAAUUUCUUGAUUUUACGAGUUAAGUGAAUUUAUAUGGAUUGGGCAUUCCUUUCUCUGGCUGCUUGCAAUUAUGAUUUUCAUGUUCCUUUCUCUCAUUUCAAGAUACCCACGUACUUUUUAUAUGCUUGGCAUUUGUAGUGUUGAAAGAAUUUUAGUUGAUUCAGCACAAAUUAUAUUAAAUUUUUUGGUCGUGAUAACUGUUGAGGUCUAACAUACAACAACUUGCCCCUGAAUAUGAUGGUAAACUGGUGAUUGCCUAUAUUCCAGGUUUGCAAUAUUCUUCCCUCUUAGGAUACCAGUUUACAUGAAGCCGGGUUCUCCUUUAGAAGUACAUUUUUGGCGUUGUUGUGGUUCUUCUAAGGUAAAACACAUGAUUGGUUUCAUAACUAUUUUAUGUACAACUUCGUUAAAUUUCUUGACAUCACAUAAUGCAUAGAAAAUCAUAAGUGAAACCUGGAUCCAUGUUGAUGCUCAAGCAUGCACGCAUUCUUGAAAUGUGGGGUUGAAAAUGACUUGUUAUGAUGCAGGUUUGGUAUGAAUGGUGUGUGACAUCUCCCGACUCAUCAGUUAUUCACAACAUCAGUGGUCGUUCAUUCUAGGUUGGUCUCUAGCAUGUUCCUCAGUUCUCCUGGAAGAGUAUUUAUUGUCAGGGAAGGUGCAAUGCAAUAAAUCCCUUGAAAUACCAUGAACAGGAAGGAUAUCAGUCUGAUGAAUUGUCUGUCGCUUAAUUAAUUGUGCUGCCCUAACGCAAAUGUGGAUGGAAUAUACCAGGCCGUGUCAAAAUGUAGCAUAUAAUAUUUGGAAAGUGAGGUUUUCACAAAUCAUUUUAAUUAACUACACAAACUAAUAUUCUUUUCUUUUCUUCAGCCUUGUUAUUCAAGUUGUCUCGUGAUAUGUGAGUUGAUAUCGUAUGAACAAUAAUCUUUGAAAGUUGUUUGCAAUCCUCGGAAAUCAAAUGCGUAGCUACACCUACACUAAUUUCAACUCUUUUCAACACCUACAGUAAUUUCCAACAUUUUUCGAAGCUCAAUGAACAUAAUUAUGAACAUUAUUAAGUUGGCUUCUCAUAAUGGGCUUUGGUGUGGGCGAUUAGGUUGCAUGAUAACAUAUAAAAAGAAUAGGCCUCAAAUUCAGACUGAUUUCAAACUAGGCAAAGCUGAGCUAAUAGGUUAAAGUCCCAUUGGACGUAAAAGGGACGCCAGGAAUCAACAAUAAGAAUAUAUGAUAAACUAUUGCAUUGUUGUUAAUGGAUGAUGUAUUCACACCCUAAGACACUAGUCAAGACUGGGUGAGGUCUGUCGCAACCAAAAACUAAACAAACCAGAAUCCAUUAUCUUCUCUCCUUUCUAUCUUUCAAUAAGAGACUACUGUUUAGCUUUUCCUGCAAGCCCUGCGAAACAUUUCUCUUAUGUUCCUUGAUUCUGUCUCCACCUUGGCCUUUUUAGCUUGCUUUCCACUUCUUUUUGUUUUAUCUUCACUCCUAUCCUUUUCCUGCCAGACAAAAAAACACAAUAAUCAGUCUAAGAGUUAGCAGGAACCCUAAAUGUGAAGUUCUGACAUUCCCUAAUAUCUCUUUUUAUACAACCCGUUAUCCUGUCAAUCUUUGUUGUGUCAACGCUCUUUUCCAACACAAACAGCUCAUCCUAUUAGUAUUCAUGAAAUUCUACUCUCAUCAUGCCCUAUUGAUGUUUUUUUUUUCAACCAAGAACUUUCAAUCUCAAAUAGAAUAAUCAAUUUACACAUAUGCUCACUUUGGGCUUACCAUAACUAAAAGUAAACGGGUAUGUGAUCAUGACAAAUGUAUAAAGUGGCCUAGGCAAAAUUCCACAUUCAACUUGUAACAUAUCAAAAACUUUUUCAAAGAAAGUAAUAAAUUAACAGAAUUAUACAAGUCGAAAUGUGUAUGACAGCCUGCAAUAGUCCCAGAUAUGCAAAAAAAUAUGUUCAACCAGCUAGCUAUUUUGUGCAAGAGAAGGAUCUGAUGCGCUGUAAUUUGUACCUGUAACAAACUGGAAGAAACUGGAUUAUGUUCGGCAUUGGUCGGAAAAUUUUCAGCUUCCGGUACUUUACUAGUUACCUCGAGUAAAUUUAAUCUGCAAUCAAAUCCCAUAAUCUAACCAGGUCAGGUAGAUAAAGGAAAUCAUUUCACAUAAGGAUUUCAUCUUGUUUUCUAUACUUUAUUGAACAAAGACAAUAUAUCAUAUCACUAUAAGAGUUUAAAUCUGAAUAAAUACUUCAAAUGAUCUAACAGAAGCAUCAACCAUGGCUCAUCCUUCACGUACUCCCCUAAUAUUGAAACCGCUCCAGCUACUGCACCAGUAAAAAGAGAUAAGUUAACGAGGAGCAAAGAUUUCUAUGGAUCUUACACGGGUUUUCUUGAUGUCUUUUUUUUUCUCUUGGAUUGUGCAAGAACAAUCCAUUCGACACAUCACUCCAAAUUAGUUUCUUUAGCCAUCCCAAAACCUUUUUCUACAAUUGUACAUUCUUGCCUAAUGUAAUUAUGCUAAAUCUAUGAGUUAUAUAUUAUUUCCUAAUUUUAUUUCUUUUUAAUUGUGUAAAUAAAUGAUGCUUCAUUGAUUGCAUGAUGCUUCAUUGAUUGCAUGUUGGCUUAAAGUUUUGGUUCUUAAAAUUCAACUAUUUUUUAUAAGCUUGUUAUAAUCUCUUCAUCCACUAUAAAUAUGAUUGGAAAGAUACAUUUUUUGGUUUAACAUUACUUCUUGAGAGGAUUAGUUUCAUAUUUAAAAUCUCAUAGCCCCCUUUCUUGUUUUUUUUUAAUUAUUAUUACUAUUACAAAAUCUAUACCCAUCCCUAUUUCAAGCCAACCACGCUUGACCUGACAUCGGCAGUUAUGAUGUCUUGAAAUUGGUGUUAAGUUUGCAAAUUUCACAACUCCAUGCUAGACUGGACAAAAAAUUGCACCAAAAACCACCCCCAAAUCCAUGAGUAGACCUAUGUACAUGCAUCAUAUUUAUGUAUGUGUGUUCACUAAUGUCGAGGAAGGAGAAUUCAAAUAAAGGUCAUACAUCAUUUCUAGUUAAGGACAUACAUGUAUAUUUCUCGUCUUGAGCAGCAUAGUUCUUGUCCAAUGAGCAUAGAGCCUUUUUUAAUUGGAACACCUGUAUGUACAGAUCUUGUACAUUAGAGAGUAAAAAAAAAACUCAAUUUCAGGUGAAAGAAAAUUCUUUAUGACCCUCUAUAUGCAUUUUUACUUAAAUUGAUAGGAAUCAACUCCAGGAACACAAAAUUAUUUUCCAAAAACAUUAUCAGAGAAGAAAGUACCCGACAGUCAGAUAAUCAUGAGAGAUAUAUUCAAGUUAAGUGGUGUAGCUGAUUAGUCCAAUUGUGCCACAAGUAGGCAUGACUAGUCAAACAUAUAGAGAUGAAAGAUAAUUCUUGACAUGCCUAAAGCCCUGUAGUAAGAUUAAGUUUAAACAAAUAAAGACAGACCUUGCAGUACAGCCAAGCUAAAACCUUUGAAUCAUCCAGCCGAAAAAACUUGGAAGAUCCAAUUUCUGAACAAGAAGAGAGUGUUAUCAAACAAAAGCAAUUUAAUAUCAUGGAUAAUAUUUUCACAGAGAUUGCAGUAUUAAAUUUUUUCUCAUUCAAAAUUUAGCCAUCUCAUGCUUGCCAUAAGCAAACAAUAUCAUUCUUGAUAGCUGUCAUACAUCGCCCAUGGCAGACAUUGUCGAAAUUAGGACCCAUCAAUUCAAGGAUGAUAAGACCUAAUUACUUAGCCGUGCGUGCAUCCUCAAUGGAACAAAAUCUAACCAAGCAUAUAGCCUAAGAAAACAUUCUGUAUCAACUGAUCAAAAAAUCAAUCUGAAAUCCUGAUUGGAUUCCACAAGAAAAAGAAAGAAUAAACAGCUAAUAAAAGUUAAGUGGCUCUGUCCUACCAUAUCAGAAUAGUAAUAUGGCAUGUAUAUGAAAAUAACAAACCUUGUACUAUAAAAUAACAAGAUUUACUUUAUAUAUUUCAGCACACUAGUCACUGGAAUUUGCACCAGAAAAACACAGGUAGUAGAAGACCUUUGAUUUCACAAACUACUCCCAUACAGUUCUCUGCAAUGGACAUUAGAUGAUGAUACCCAGGAUAGUCAUUGAUGAAUAUUAUCUCAUCUAAUUGCCUGAACUUCCCUAGAUCAUCCCUCUUCUGCAUACAAGGAAAAAAUAGUUUUAUUUAAAUAAAGGUGGAAGAAUGACAAUGCUGCCAUGGAAAAAUGAUUAAACAUUCUUAACUCUUAUGCAUAUAUUCCAGAACAAUCAGAAUAGAAACCAAGAAAAGCCAACCAGAACUGGUUGCCAUGCCCAUCAAUUACUGUAGUUUGCAAGUUAAUUUACUCUAGAAGUUAGAGAACAUGGCCACAUGCACAGAAUGGACUAAAAGGUUUCCUACAGUUGAGUAAAUUAUGCCCCUCCUUCAAAUGCAAUCAGUAGAUCAUAAUCAAGCUGAAAGAAAUUUUUUAACUAGGGACGAAGACAAAAUGGAAGACAGCUUGCUUCUGAUCCAAACGACGAGAACAAGAACCAGAUAACACAAUUGUAUUUACCUUCAUUCUAGCUUCCUCAAAAAUGGGCAACAAAAUGAAAACAGGAUCGACAGGAGUGGCAGUGUAAAGGCUGCCAUCUGCAUGAAGAAAGAACAGAUGAAGGGACAAGGAAACAAACACAAAGCAGGUCAGGAUACCAGUUAGUAUUAGAAUCAUGAAUAUGAAAUAACAUUUACUGUUAUUUUAUUAAAUAACCAAUUCAUAUACAAUAUCAACUAUAGUGGUUGAGAUUUUCCAAUAUAUAUAUAGUUUGCACAUUUUGUGAGCACACAUGGGUGUUGAAAGCUAGGCUACAGCCGAACCCACCUAAGAAAGAUUUUGUAAAAACUCGUAAGUUCCAUUGAUGAUCUGACCAAUAACAGAAUGAGGAGAAGCACAAGCCUUGGAAAGGUUGAGUGGAAGUGUGUGGAUGGGAAAGAUAUAGAGAUGAAGCACAUGCAAUGCCUUAAUUAAAGCAUUAAGAAUAAACAUCAAGUCCAGUCCAGUAUCUGGAAAUUGUGAUAUCUAGAAUCUAUAUUGUAUCAUGCAUGUAAUGUACCCAAUAAGCAAUAUUAGGCAGGUAAGGUUGUGCAUUUUCGAGUAAAGAAAUGUAUAUAUAUGCAUGUACCUUGAGAAACAUAAUCGCCAAGAAACCAAGAUGUAUAUGAUUGCUUGAACCAGUGAAGUUCUUGGAGCACUGCUCCCUCAUUAUCAUGACUAAGGAGAUAGUUUGUUGCGUUCCCUGAAAGAAGAUGAAAUUUGAUAAGUGCUUAUGAAGUUGUACUAUAACUAGCAAAUGAUGAACACACACACACACACACAUAUCUACCCGAUUUUGGAUGUCGAAGCAAUAACAAGCAUCCAUUAAUUCCAGCAGCAGUAUCUGAGAAAAUUUGUAAUAUAAAUAUAAUGAAGGCAAAACCCAUUGACAUCAAUUCAGCUUACUGUGAUAUUAUUAAACAAAAAAUGAAAUUCACAUUAUAAGAAAUCAAUGCAUUCAAUUACUUGUGAGUGGUAUGAAACAAAAGUGUAGUACUAAUAUUAAGUAAUUACCUCCUGCAGUGGGUGAAGGCGCAGGUGCAAUCAGAAGACGAGACCCAUAUUCAGCAGCAGCAUCACCAGCAGCUUUGAUGGCACCUGCAGGUGUAUUUGCUCCUAUAGCUUCCAAUUCAGCAGCUUGAACUGCUUUCUUCACCAGAUCAGAAAUGUCUUUGGUUCCGAUCCUGCAACCCUGAAAGCAAUCAUCAUUAUCGUCUCUUUCCACAUUCAAACCAUCGGAAAGAAUAUUUCCCUGGAACUUUCUUGUAUCUGGUCCUUUCUUCACAUCCAAAAGAUUCUUUGAAUUCCUAUCUCUAGCACUCCGUCCUGGUCCUGAUCCUGAUCGACUACCAGAAUCUGGAGAUGUUGAAACCUGUUCAUUCUUGAGUGCUGUUUCAUUAACCCUCCCCCUCCCUCUGUGUCUUGUCCAUCCACGUGAAGGCCUGUGUCUCAACAAGUCAUCUCUUCCACUUUCAUCAAGUUCCGCAAACUUUAUUUUUACAUCACGAAGGUCUCGACCAUGCCGUCUCUCCCCGCCAUCAAUAUCUAUGUCAUCAUUAUCUUCUCCAACAGAUUCUAAAGAACUUUCAUCUAAAUCAGCUAAAGAUCUCUCAUCUGCAGCCCUGAUAUUAUUUUCAAGGGUUGCCUCUGGAAGCUGCCGCGCCCUGCAGAGUGCAAAGAUAAGAUUUGAACACAAGACCUAUACUUCAAAUACUUCAAAGUCAACAGACAGUCGCGUGCAAAAUAUAAGGCUCAUGCCUUCUUUUUUUUUUUUUUUGUAAUGUAUAUCCCAACCCGUUCUUCCACUUUAAGAUUUUCCUUAAAUACUUGGAUGUUUUUGAGAAUCCCAGAAGACACUAAUCACAGACUGCUGUAAAAGUGGAUAGUGUGUUAGUAAUGUUGUCAUAUAUGUAACGUAACCACAUUUUCUGAUCAUAAUGAUCCAUCCUUACUGUCAUGAAAAUAUGACCACUUGAAUAAGAGUUUCCCUGGUAUAAGUUACCACCACCAGGUUUUCAACCUAAAAGAUAUUAGCAGCUGUAGAGGAAACAUUGGCAAGAAACUAAAAGAUUCAUAUGACCUUUCAUUGGGAACCCUCAUUUGGUUAUGCUACUGCAGAUACUGUAUUUGAACUGACAGCAAUCAACACGAAAAUGCUAUCUAAAAUCAUAUACAAUAAUUUGUGCACAUUUUUCAUGUUUUCGAAUACCAUAUGCAUUUCAAAUUAAAAUAUCAAGCCCAGAACUGAAUAAAGGAUGGUAGUGCCAAUAUAAGAGUAUAAUGACGUUAUCCUAAUAGACGAAAAAGAAUCAAAAUUACAUUCCGGGAUAAAAACCAAACUAACUAGAAAUCUACAGCACCCUCUGAAAUCAGUAAUUCCUCCUAUUAGCAUACAGUGUGCGGUAUAAUAUACAUGCAGCAAAUAUUAGGAAGUGAUAAGCUUUCUGUGCAUUGUUUUCAAGUGCAAAGAAAUAAAUAAGUAUUAGUUAGAGAUGAAAAUAAAAACAAAAAUAUGUAAUAAAGAAAUGAAUAGGGAAAGGGGGGGUAUGCAUACAGUGACUCUUGAGUUUCGAGAAGAGAGGAAAGAGCGUGGAGAAGAGUAGGGUUAGGAUUAUCAGGAGAAGAAGUGAUUUUAUCAAUCCGUUUCUGCGCUUUCUCAAUUAAUUCCUCUUCUUCCUUCUUCGUUUCAUCUACUUCCUCUCCUUCUCUCUGCGAUUGUGAUUGUAAUUGUGGUUGCGGUUGCGACGGAUUAGAAGGAGCAUCUCCUCCGCCUCCUCCUCCGCUAUGAGUUCGGGUUUGGGCUUGGGCUUGCCUCGAUGGAGAAUCGUCCAAAGAAUUUGAUCCCUCCAUCAUCUAUCUGAAUUCAAUGAAUGAAACCCUAAGAAGAAAGAAAUAGAGGAAUGGUUUAGGUUUAGGUUUAGGUUUAGGUUUAGGCUCGGGGGAAAAGAAAGGAAGCAGCCGAUGAUACUAAAUACUAAUAAUAUUUAGCAGCUCUGGCUGGCUGGUUGCGGGCGGAGUGGGUUCUUCUAAAUUACAUACACACAGUCUUUCUGUUACGUGUGUG